rnacentral:rRNA from 1 species
AUUGAACGCUGGCGGCAGGCCUAACACAUGCAAGUCGCACGAGUGGCGGCCGGGUGAGUCAUGUCUGGGAAACUGCCUGAUGGAGGGGGCUAACUACUGGAAACGGUAGCUAAUACCGCAUACCAUCGGAUGUGCACAGAUGGGAUUAGCUAGUAGGGGGGGUAAAGUCUCACCUAGGCGACGAUCCCUAGCUGGUCUGCUAGGAUGACCAGCCAUACUGGAACUGAUACACGGCUCAGACUCCUCCGGGAGGCAGCAGUGGGGAAUAUUGCACAAUGGGCGCAAGCCUGAUGCAGCCAUGCCGCGUGUAUGAAGAAGUCCUUAGGGUUGUAAAGUACUUUCAGCGGGGAGGCGUUACCCGCAGAAGAAGCACCGGCUAACGCCGUGCCAGCAGCCGCGGUAAUUC